UUGAACGCUGGCGGAAUGCUUUACACAUGCAAGUCGAGCGGCAGCGCGGGGGCAACCCUGGCGGCGAGCGGCGAACGGGUGAGUAAUACAUCGGAACGUACCCAGUUGUGGGGGAUAGCCCGGCGAAAGCCGGAUUAAUACCGCAUAAGUCCUGAGGGAGAAAGCGGGGGAUCGCAAGACCUCGCGCGAUAGGAGCGGCCGAUAUCGGAUUAGCUUGUUGGUGAGGUAAAGGCUCACCAAGGCGACGAUCCGUAGCUGGUCUGAGAGGACGACCAGCCACACUGGAACUGAGACACGGUCCAGACUCCUACGGGAGGCAGCAGUGGGGAAUUUUGGACAAUGGGGGCAACCCUGAUCCAGCCAUUCCGCGUGAGUGAAGAAGGCCUUCGGGUUGUAAAGCUCUUUCAGCAGGAACGAAACGGUGGCUACUAAUACUAGCUACUAAUGACGGUACCUGAAGAAGAAGCACCGGCUAACUACGU
rnacentral:rRNA from 1 species